UACAGAGGUCCCAAGCGUUGUUCGGAUUCACUGGGCGUAAAGGGUGCGUAGGUGGUCAGGUAAGUCGGAUGUGAAAUCUCCGAGCUCAACUCGGAAACUGCAUUGGAAACUACCUGGCUCGAGGGUUGGAGGGGGGGACUGGAAUGCUUGGUGUAGCAGUGAAAUGCGUAGAUAUCAAGCGGAACACCGGUGGCGAAGGCGGCCUUCUGGACAAUGACUGACGCUAAAACACGAAAGCGUGGGGAGCAAACAAG
rnacentral:rRNA from 1 species